rnacentral:rRNA from 1 species
UACGGAGGGUGCAAGCGUUAUCCGGAUUCACUGGGUUUAAAGGGAGCGUAGGUGGGUCUGUAAGUCAGUGGUGAAAUCUCCGGGCUUAACCUGGAAACUGCCAUUGAUACUAUAGGUCUUGAAUAUUGUGGAGGUUAGCGGAAUAUGUCAUGUAGCGGUGAAAUGCUUAGAUAUGACAUAGAACACCAAUUGCGAAGGCAGCUAACUAGGCUGUAACUGACGCUGAGGCACGAAAGUGUGGGGAUCAAACAGG